rnacentral:rRNA from 1 species
UGGGGAAUAUUGCACAAUGGGGGAGACCCUGAUGCAGCAACGCCGCGUGAGUGAUGAUGGUCUUCGGAUUGUAAAGCUCUGUCUUUGGGGACGAUAAUGACGGUACCCAAGGAGGAAGCCACGGCUAACUACGUGCCAGCAGCCGCGGUAAUACGUAGGUGGCGAGCGUUAUCCGGAAUUAUUGGGCGUAAAGGGAGCGUAGGCGGAUAAUUAAGUGGGAUGUGAAAUACUCAGGCUCAACCUGGAGGCUGCAUUCCAAACUGAUUAUCUAGAGUGCAGGAGAGGAGAGUGGAAUUCCUAGUGUAGCGGUGAAAUGCGUAGAGAUUAGGAAGAACACCAGUGGCGAAGGCGACUCUCUGGACUGUAACUGACGCUGAGGCUCGAAAGCGUGGGGAGCAAACA